rnacentral:rRNA from 1 species
AUACGGAGGGUGCGAGCGUUAAUCGGAAUUACUGGGCGUAAAGGGUCCGUAGGCGGUCUGCUUAGUCUGAUGUGAAAGCCCCGGGCUUAACCUGGGAAUGGCAUUGGAUACUGGCGGACUAGAGUCUGGUAGAGGGUGGUGGAAUUCCCGGUGUAGCGGUGAAAUGCGUAGAUAUCAGGACGAACACCAGUGGCGAAGGCGGCCACCUGGACCAAGACUGACGCUGAGGGACGAAAGCGUGGGGAGCAAACAGGAUUAGAAACCCUAGUAGUCC